AGUGAACGCUGGCGGUAGGCCUAACACAUGCAAGUCGAACGGCAGCUCAGUAAGAGCUUGCUCUUACGGGUGGCGAGUGGCGGACGGGUGAGGUAUAGAUCGGAAUAUACUUUUUCGGGGGGGAUAAAGUAGGGAAACUUACGGUAAUACGGCAUACGACCUGCGGGUGGAAGGGGGGGAUUUUCGGACGUUGCGCGGUUGAAUGAGAGCAUGUCGGGUUGGCUAGUUGGCCGGGGAAAGGCCCACCAAGGGGACGCUCCGUAGCUGGUCUGCGGGGAUGACCGACCACACUGGAACUGAGGCACCGGCCAGACUCCUACGGGAGGCAGCAGUGGGGAAUAUUGGACAACGGGCGCAAGCCUUAUCCAGCCAUACCGCGUGGGUUAAGAAGGCCUUCGGGGUGGAAAGCCCUUUUGUUGGGAAAGAAAAGCAGCAGGUUAAUACCCCGCUGUUCUGACGGUACCCAAAGAAUAAGCACCGGCUAACUUCGUG
rnacentral:rRNA from 1 species